AGCAUGGCAAGCCAGGCUCCAGAGAAGCAUCCUGAGGACCAGUGUUCCUAGGGACCUCAUUCUUCUGACCUCAUUCCUACAACGUUUUGUCACUGCAAAGGAAAUCACCAAGGCCAGUCUGUCUUUCAGACACUUCUGAUGAAACUGAAAAUGCCACCAGGGAGAAGCAGCUGAACUUCAAGGACCACAGAGGGCCAAGUGCAGGAGUAAGAGGCUGGCGUGCUGACAGUGGCCAAGGGCAUUGGAGGGAAGGACCUGUCAUCACUGGGCCAAGGAAGGAACUCCAGACUGCCUACUUCCAGAGGGCCUGCUGAGGAAUUUUAGCUUGAACUUGCCUGCCUUGACUAGGGCUUUCUGAGCAGCAGAUGAUUCUGCAAUGGUGUUAGUCCAGGCCUGGUUCUGCAUGACAUUGACCAUACUGUGCACCCUGGGGUCAUUAUGUCUUGGGCUUCAAGGGGCUCCAUGGGCUCCAGGGGGCUCCAUGUGACACUGCACAGAGCUCUCUCUAGGUCACCUGGAUGUGUCUCUUCCUAGGAACCCCAAAGAGCUCUCUCAACAAACACACCCACGAGUUCCAGGAGUGAGGCUGCAGGGAACAGCCUCACUCUCAGAGGGGAUACAGAAUUGUUCCACUGGACAAGGGCUGGGAUCGUCAUAGGAUGCCGUUGGCCUGUGGUUUCCAACAGAGGUGCAGUUCAUUGAACUGUGGUCUACAGUCCAUUCUCUAACUUGGGGACCCUUGAAGAAGUGUGGAAUCAUGACAACAACCCUGUUGGGAGACACUAUUAUUCCCAUCACAUGGAUGAGCACACGGAGGCAAAAGGAAGUUAUAUGAUUGUCUGAGAUCACCCAGUGAAGACUGUGUGGCUGGGAGUUGUCCCCAGUGUUAUCUGCACGCUGCUUCCUUUUGAUGCCUGGCCCUUCUUUAUCAAAAGAAGCAUUGGCAGAAUCUGGGUGUUUAUGGGUCAGCUCAAAAUAAAUUACUUUAUAUGUCAUUCAUAUUGUUCUUCAUUUCCUGGACAGUAGAAGUCCCCUCCACACCCACUUUCUGUUGUUAGAAGGGGCUUGUCUCAUUGUGAAGAGGUCUUUUCCUCCCGGCUUCCUGGGCUGAUGUAAAUACCCAGAAGAGAACUCCUCCCU
rnacentral:lncRNA from 1 species